rnacentral:rRNA from 1 species
GAUGAACGCUGGCGGCGUGCCUAACACAUGCAAGUCGAGCGGCAGCGAGGGGUGCUUGCACCCUGCCGGCGAGCGGCGGACGGCUGAGUAACGCGUGGGAACGUGCCCCAAAGUGAGGAAUAACUGCCCGAAAGGGUAGCUAAUACCGCAUAUUAUCUUCGGAUCAAAGGAUUUAUCCGCUUUGGGAGCGGCUCGCGUCGGAUUAGGUAGUUGGUGAGGUAAUGGCUCACCAAGCCGACGAUCCGUAGCUGGUCUGAGAGGAUGACCAGCCAGACUGAACUGAGACACGGUCCAGACUCCUACGGGAGGCAGCAGUGAGGAAUCUUCCACAAUGGGCGAAAGCCUGAUGGAGCAACGCCGCGUGCAGGACGAAGGCCUUCGGGUUGUAAACUGCUUUUAUAAGUGAGGAAUAUGACGGUAACUUAUGAAUAAGGAUCGGCUAACUACGUG